AAUGUAUAGCAAUAGCUACUUGUAUCAUUGUAAAUAUGAUGCAAGAUCGACUAUGUCGAAUAAAAUUCUAGGUAGAAUUAUGAUAAUGACAUUGUCUGCCUAUGUGUCUUGACCAAAUUACGUGCCAGCAGUCGCGGUAAUACGUAGGAGACUAGUGUUAUUCAUGUUUAAUCGGUUUAAAGGGUACCUAGACGGUAAAUCAAGCCUAAAAGGAAAUAAAGGAAGGGACUAAUUUACUAGAGUUACUUAUGAGGGGGUAUUAAGGUACUGCUGGUGUAGAGAUGAAAUUCUGUCAUACCUCUUUUCAAUAGAAAAAUAACGGCACAGGUAUAGGCGAAAGCAUCCCCUUAUGUGAUAACUGACGUUGAGGGACGAAGGCUUUGUGUAGCGAACAGGAUUAGGUACCCCAGUAGUCAAAGCAGAGAAUGAUGAAUGUCAUAGAUUAGAUAUAUAAGUUUAUUCUAUAAAUGAAAGUGUAAGCAUUCCACCUCAAGAGUAAUUUGGCAACAUUGGAACUGAAAUCAUUAGACCGUUUCUGAAACCAGUAGUGAAGUAUGUUGUUUAAUUUGAUGAUCCGCAAAAAACCUUACCACAAUUUGAAUAUUUAUAUUUUUAUUUAUUGUUUUUCUUUUUAAUUUUCUUCUGAUUUUCUGCUUGAGGAAAAAAGAAGAAAAGUAAAAAGAGGCAAUAAGAUAUAUUUACAAGCGUUGCACGGCUGUCUUCAGUUAAUGUCGUGAGACUAUGGUUAGUUCCAUUAAAUUAACGUAAACCCUUACUUUAUUUUUAUAUAGAGUAGUUCCCCACUAUAUUGGAUAUGAUAACAGG
rnacentral:rRNA from 1 species